CCCUUCUUGUCUUGCUACUCAUCCAUCUCAACAUCCUCAUCUUAGCUACACUCAUUCUAUGGGUAUGUUAUUCCUUGACCGCCCAGCAUUCUGCCCCAUAAAGUAAUGUUGAUCUCGCAACUGUUAUAGAACUUGCCCUUUAGCUUCAUUCGUAUGCGGCGAUCGCAUAAAACUCUGUUGCACAUCUCCACUUCGCUCACCCAACAAUUUAUAAAUUCAUGUGGGCAAAAAUUCAACUCUAUAAUCCUAGCCCAACCUAGUGGUUGUAGAUUAGGAUUUCUC
rnacentral:lncRNA from 1 species